GGGCCCGCACAAGCGGUGGAGCAUGUGGUUUAAUUCGAUGCAACGCGAAGAACCUUACCUACCCUUGACAUCGAGAGAACUUUCCAGAGAUGGAUUGGUGCCUUCGGGAACUCUCAGACAGGUGCUGCAUGGCUGUCGUCAGCUCGUGUUGUGAAAUGUUGGGUUAAGUCCCGUAACGAGCGCAACCCUUGUCCCUAUUUGCCAGCGAUUCGGUCGGGAACUCUAGGGAGACUGCCGGUGUCAAGCCGGAGGAAGGUGGGGACGACGUCAAGUCAUCAUGGCCCUUACGGCUAGGGCUUCACACGUGCUACAAUGGACGGUACAAAGGGUCGCGAAGCCGCGAGGUGGAGCCAAUCCCAAAAAGCCGUUCUCAGUUCGGAUUGGAGUCUGCAACUCGACUCCAUGAAGUCGGAAUCGCUAGUAAUCGUGGAUC
rnacentral:rRNA from 1 species